GUGCUAUGAGAUGAGCCUGCGUCGGAUUAGCUAGUUGGUAGGGUAAUGGCCUACCAAGGCGACGAUCCGUAGCUGGUCUGAGAGGACGAUCAGCCACACUGGGACUGAGACACGGCCCAGACUCCUACGGGAGGCAGCAGUGGGGAAUAUUGGACAAUGGGGGAAACCCUGAUCCAGCAAUGCCGCGUGUGUGAAGAAGGCCUUCGGGUUGUAAAGCACUUUCAGUGGGGAAGAAAUUCUCAAGGCUAAUACCCUUUUGAGCGUUGACGUUACCCACAGAAGAAGCACUGGCUAACUCUGUGCCAGCAGCCGCGGUAAUACAGAGAGUGCAAGCGUUAAUCGGAAUCACUGGGCGUAAAGCGCGCGUAGGUGGAUAUUUAAGUCGGAUGUGAAAGCCCUAGGCUUAACCUGGGAAUUACAUCCGAUACUAGGUAUCUCGAGUAUGAUAGAGGGAAGUGGAAUUUCCGGUGUAGCGGUGAAAUGCGUAGAUAUCGGAAAGAACAUCAGUGGCGAAGGCGGCUUCCUGGAGCAAUACUGACACUGAGGCGCGAAAGCGUGGGGAGCAAACAGGAUUAGAGACCCUGGUAGUCCACGCCGUCAACGAUGAGAACUAGCUGUUGGAAAGUUUAAUUUCUAGUAGCAAAGCUAACGCGUUAAGUUCUCCGCCUGGGGAGUACGGCCGCAAGGUUAAAACUCAAAGAAAUUGACGGGGGCCCGCACAAGCGGUGGAGCAUGUGGUUUAAUUCGAUGCAACGCGAAAAACCUUACCUACCCUUGACAUCCUCGGAACUUGUCAGAAAUGACUUGGUGCCUUUGGGAACCGAGUGACAGGUGCUGCAUGGCUGUCGUCAGCUCGUGUCGUGAGAUGUUGGGUUAAGUCCCGUAACGAGCGCAACCCUCGUCCUUAGUUGCCAGCGGUUCGGCCGGGAACUCUAAGGAGACUGCCGGUGAUAAACCGGAGGAAGGUGAGGAUGAUGUCAAGUCAUCAUGGCCCUUACGGGUAGGGCUACACACGUGCUACAAUGGGCAGUACAAAGGGUUGCCAAACCGUGAGGUAAAGCUAAUCCCAAAAAGCUGCUCGUAGUCCGGAUUGGAGUCUGCAACUCGACUCCAUGAAGUUGGAAUCGCUAGUAAUCGCGAAUCAGAAUGUCGCGGUGAAUACGUUCUCGGGCCUU
rnacentral:rRNA from 3 species